AUGCCUUAAACUUUUGAGUAAAGAAAACAGCAAUUCCAGGUGCGCUCUCGUCCUCACUGCUAAUGUGAGAUGAACUGUUGAGCGGGUAAAGUCUGCCGCUAAGGCAAUCCACCUACAAAUCACUAAAUAUAAGAAAAAGGGCUGGAGUGUGGCUCAGUGGUAGAGCCCCUG
rnacentral:snRNA from 1 species